AUAUCAUGUUCUCAAUCAGCAUAAAUAGACAAACUUCUACACACCUUCAAAGCUAUCAUUAAUUCCAAUAGUACCUUCUUGUUAAUAGUUUUGUACUUAUUUACUAUUUCUAGAUGCUUAGUUCAUUUUCAUGGUACAAAAGAGAUUUUCAGUCUUUGUAACAAGAAAGCAUGCAUUGAGCUACUAGAAUGAAAGAUCAUGCCACAGCCACAACUGAGCUUGCAGAUGAUGUCAUGAAAGGUUUCUUAGAAUUGGGAGUUAUGUCUAAAUCAACCCUACAAAACCAGCUUGUAAGGAAGGGUGAGGAAACUAGAAGGUUUAUUGUUGGGAUUGCUUGAUGAAGCUUGGGCGGAGUAUGGUUUCAGACAGAAGGGAACUCUUGUUGUUCCGUGUCGGCCGAUAGAAUUACAUAACAUUCUAGAUCCUCAAAAAACAUAGAGAAGAUAACACCAAAAUUAUUAUGAAGGAAAGGAUCAUAUCAUGGAGUGAAGAUCCUUUCCAUUGAUCUUGUAAGAGUUUUUUUUAUGAGAGAGAUUGCCCAGAGAUGAGAUUGUUAGGACUCAUUUUUAAAACUAUUUUCAAACAAGAGAUCUAUCAAAUCCUCCUUUUUGUCUUUCUUUUUUCAAAUAGAGUCCUCUAUUUCAUUUGAAAAAUUGAGAGGAACUAUGCUAGUAUUUGUGGCAGAAUAGAAAAACUACUAUAGGAAGUUAAUAUAUUUAUUUUAAGAAAUAACAACUAAGUUAAUAUAUGCAGUUUUCACCCUGC